UCCCUGGUGGUCCAGUGGCUAGGACUCAGCGCUUGCACUGCCGAGGGCCUGGGUUCGAUCCCUAGCCAGGAAA